CUUUGCUUGGCACUUCUCUCUUCUGCUGCCAUGUGAAGAAGGAUGUGUUUGCUUCCCCUUCUGCUAUGAUUGUACGUCUCCUGAGGCCUCCGCAGUCAUGCAGAACUCGUUGUGAAGGAGAUACUAUCAUAUCCUUUAACAGCCCUGGUGAUGUUCGCUGCUCUGCACAGCACACGGUGACUACAUCCCAGAUCCAGAGCUGCGGAACUCUGGGGCCACGUCUCCAGCGCCGCAUUCGGCGGCACACGGAGGCCUGAGAAGGCGGGAGGGGUCAGUCUCUGGCUUCGAGUAGCAGCAAUACCAGGACAACCAUAGCUGAGUCAUGUCAAGAUGAACCAUAUGGCAUUACCAUUUUUUCACAGGUCAGGGCAAAGAAUACUGGUGAAUUCAUGGGUUUCAGCCUAAUUUAAAAUGUGUGUAUUCUUCAAAGUCUUUUAGGAGCUGUGGGGAUUAAAAGGGCCGGCAGGGGCUCAGAGCUCCGUUGGCUGGGUCUGGGGUCCCAGCUCUCAUCAGUGACAUCGCCCCGCAGCCCCAGGGCGGCCGCAGCACCCGAGCUUCCUCGGCUUCACAGGAGGGAAGUGCUCCCUCGGAGACAAAAUAUUUUUCCCAAAAGGAGCAAUUCAUCUACUUGGCUAUAAAUCA
rnacentral:lncRNA from 1 species